AGUCUAUAGUGAGGACACAUUCUCAACAAAUCCUUAAAUCUCUCUCAUGUAUCAUAAAGUGUCUCAAUAUCAAAUUGAGCAAAAGCAUAGAUAUCAUUCCUCAAUUU
rfam:Gossypium arboreum cultivar AKA8401 contig_35122_1, whole genome shotgun sequence.